AACGAACGCUGGCGUCAUGCCUAACACAUGCAAGUCGAACGAGACCUUCGGGUCUAGUGGCGCACGGGUGCGUAACGCGUGGGAACCUGCCCUUAGGUUCGGAAUAACUCCCCGAAGGGGGUGCUAAUACCGGAUAAUGUCUUCGGACCAAAGAUUUAUCGCCUUUGGAUGGGCCCGCGUUGGAUUAGCUAGUUGGUAGGGUAAAAGCCUACCAAGGCGACGAUCCAUAGCUGGUCUGAGAGGAUGAUCAGCCACACUGGGACUGAGACACGGCCCAGACUCCUACGGGAGGAAGCAGUGGGGAAUAUUGGACAAUGGGCGAAGGCCUGAUCCAGCAAUGCCGCGUGAGUGAUGAAGGCCUUAGGGUUGUAAAGCUCUUUUACCCGGGAUGAUAAUGACAGUACCGGGAGAAUAAGCUCCGGCUAACUCCGUG
rnacentral:rRNA from 1 species